CAUCCUAGCAAAGAAUUUAACAUCACCUAUAUCAGGAAAUGUGGAAAUCACAGGGCAAAGUGACUUUUUCCAUCUGGUACCUCCCCAUCUGAUAGCAAAUUGUGCAAAUCCUCAUUGGUGCCUUUAAACCAUGCCAUUUUAAGGAACUAUGUGGCUGUCAGGAAGAACAUAAUGACACUGGGGGUUACAGCCUGACUUUGUACAGCUGUGCAAACCAGCAGCUUAACUUUGGAGUCGGCACUAUGCUCAGAGUCAUAGGGAAGAAUGAUGAAAUCAUACCUCCUGCCGUGGCCAUCUUUUCCCCAUCAAAGCAGGAGAUCCAGCAGAAGAGCAAGGCCACGCUGGUGUGCCUGGCCUCUGGUUUCUACCCUGACCACUUGACUCUGGUGUGGAGGGUGAAUGGUGUGAAAAGGACUGAAGGGGUGGGCACAGACGAGUCCUCCACACAGAAUGGGAGCACCUACUCACUGACCAGCCGACUGAGGAUGCCAGCCUGGGAAUGGUUCAACCCUCUGAAUCGCUUCGAGUGUGUUGCCAGUUUUUUUCAGAAUGGAACAACAGCAUCAGUAAACAAAUUUAUCCAUGGUGAUGCUGGUUGUGCACUCACAGAAGAGUCGUACUUGCGGUAUGGAAAUUCCCUGAAGCUCACUUACCUCAUCCUCUGUGGCAAAGCCUUGGUCUAUGCAGUUUUGGUGAGUGGUCUGGUGUGGACAGGCAAGAGUGGCGUCAAGUUAUCUAGAGAAUAAAUGAAGAGCCCUUGUCAUCACAUCAGCAGGAACAUGACAAGAUUGCUACCUUUCCAUAGCAAAAAAAUCUGUGCUUCUACGAACUUCUGAAUAUAAUUUUUUUGUAAUUAUCAGUUGCUGUACUGUUAUUCACAUCUUUGUCAGCUUUCUCUGUACUUCCAUAUCAUAAUGUAUCAUAUUUUAUUGUAAGACAUCUUUAAAAGUAGCACCUUCUUAAUGCUCAGCAGCUGAGAACUCAUCUGAUUGAUUUAGGAAUAAAGUUUUUGCUUCUCUUCCCU